UACGUAGGGGGCAAGCGUUGUCCGGAAUCAUUGGGCGUAAAGCGUGCGCAGGCGGUUAUGCAAGACAGAUGUGAAAUCCCCGGGCUCAACCUGGGAAUGGCAUUGGUGACUGCACGGCUAGAGUGUGUCAGAGGGGGGUAGAAUUCCACGUGUAGCAGUGAAAUGCGUAGAGAUGUGGAGGAAUACCGAUGGCGAAGGCAGCCCCCUGGGAUAACACUGACGCUCAUGCACGAAAGCGUGGGGAGCAAACAGG
rnacentral:rRNA from 1 species